rnacentral:lncRNA from 1 species
GAUCUGCGUCUUAUGUGCUAAGUUUGGGGUCAAAUGGAAAUCAGACGAGAUGAUUCAAACUCCUAUGCCCGUGUUGGACCACAACUUGAUCCGUCGUUAUAAAGUGUGGUCAGGUGGCGCUAAUCACCCUAGGGGACUGGGUUUCAUUAUCCCCCAAGUUACGUCUACACAAGCCCCACCACCUCAGGCUCCACCUACUUACGGCCCCUCGACUGCAG